rnacentral:piRNA from 1 species
UAAAAUUGUAUAACAUAAAAA